GCUGGCUUCUGCCUAUUAUGGUCAUCUUCU
rnacentral:piRNA from 1 species